GUUCUAUGAACAUAGUUGUAUAGUCCCAGCUACUCAGGAGGCUGGGACAGGAGGAUCCCUUCAGUCCAGGAGUUCUGGGGUGUAGUGUCCAAUGCAGAAGCAGUGUCCACACUAAGUUUGGCAUCGAUAUGGUGGCCUCUGGCAGCGGGGUCCACCAUGUUGCAUAAGGAGGGGUGAACUGGCCCAGGUCAGAAAUGGAGCAGGUCAAAAAAAAAAAAUGCUGGGUGUUGGUGGUGCAUGCCUUUAAUCCCAGCACACGGGAGGCAGAGGCAGGCAGAUCUCU
rnacentral:SRP_RNA from 1 species